rnacentral:rRNA from 1 species
AGCGAACGCUGGCGGCAGGCUUAACACAUGCAAGUCGAGCGGGCAUCUUCGGAUGUCAGCGGCAGACGGGUGAGUAACACGUGGGAACGUACCCUUCGGUUCGGAACAACUCUGGGAAACUGGAGCUAAUACCGGAUACGCCCUUAUGGGGAAAGGUUUACUGCCGAAGGAUCGGCCCGCGUCUGAUUAGCUAGUUGGUGGGGUAACGGCCUACCAAGGCGACGAUCAGUAGCUGGGCUGAGAGGAUGAUCAGCCACACUGGGACUGAGACACGGCCCGGAAUCCUACGGGAGGCAGGAGUGGGGAAUAUUGGAAAAUGGGGGGAAGCCUGAUCCCGUCAUGCCGCGUGAGUGAUGAAGGCCUUAGGGUUGUAAAGCUCUUUUGUCCGGGACGAUAAUGACGGUACCGGAAGAAUAAGCCCCGGCUAACUUCGUG